rnacentral:rRNA from 1 species
GAUGAACGCUGGCGGCGUGCCUAAUACAUGCAAGUCGAGCGAACAGACGAGGAGAUUGCUCUCCUGCCGUUAGCGGCGGACGGGUGGGUAACACGUGGAUCACCUACUUCUAUGUCUGGGAUAACAUCGGAAAACCGCAGAUACUACUGGAUCAUAUAUUGUACCGCAUGGUUCAGUGGUGCUUCACAGUUUUGCUGUCACUUUUAGCUGAUUCCGUGCCGGAUUAGCUAGUUGGUAAGGUAACGGCUUACCAAGGCAACGAUGCGUAGCUGACCUGAGAGGGUGAUCGGCCACACUGGAACUGAGACACGGUCCAGACUCCUACGGGAGGCAGCAGUAGGGAAUAUUCCGCAAUGGGCGAAAGCCUGACGGAGCAACGCCGCGUGAGUGAUGAAGGUCUUCGGAUCGUAAAGCUCUUUUGUUAGGAAAGAACAAAAGUAUGUGAAUCUAUCGACGUCUUGACGGUACCCAAUCAAAAAGCAACGGCUAACUUCGUG